UGGGGAAUAUUGGACAAUGGGCGCAAGCCUGAUCCAGCCAUGCCGCGUGAGUGAUGAAGGCCUUAGGGUUGUAAAGCUCUUUCACCGGAGAAGAUAAUGACGGUAUCCGGAGAAGAAGCCCCGGCUAACUUCGUGCCAGCAGCCGCGGUAAUACGAAGGGGGCUAGCGUUGUUCGGAAUUACUGGGCGUAAAGCGCACGUAGGCGGACAUUUAAGUCAGGGGUGAAAUCCCGGGGCUCAACCUCGGAACUGCCUUUGAUACUGGGUGUCUAGAGUAUGGAAGAGGUAAGUGGAAUUGCGAGUGUAGAGGUGAAAUUCGUAGAUAUUCGCAGGAACACCAGUGGCGAAGGCGGCUUACUGGUCCAUUACUGACGCUGAGGUGCGAAAGCGUGGGGAGCAAACA
rnacentral:rRNA from 1 species